AUGAUUGGACCUAAGCCUCUAAGUAUCCUUACAGUGGAAAAAUAUGCUGUGAGAAGAAACAACAGUAGAGCAAAACUGGUCAGAGAAAUUGGGAUAAUGACCAAAACUGCCUGGAGGAAAGAAAGGAGCAAAGAAUGUCAUUUAAGAUCUAGAACUGAUAAUGUCUGUUCUGGAGUGUUCUGGAGACAUUGGAGCAUGGGUUCUUCUACUGGCAUUUUAUCAAGAAAGCUCUCGAUGUUCAGAACACUGUGACAGGCAUUUGCAUCAUGUGUGAUACACAGCUCAGGUAAGAUGAGGAAUUUAAAAUGUCAGAUUAGAAUUGUGGCUUCUACUAAUGAAUAAAGGUUAUGUUUUUAUAUGAUACCCA
rnacentral:lncRNA from 12 species